GGCGGGUGCCAUGCGUCUGGAGCUUCACAUUCUCUGCCCCCCACCCACCGCGCCGGCGCUCCCUUGUCACGCCUCGGGAAGCGCGCACCUGCCAAGCAGUGAUGGUGUUUCACCAUGUUGCCCAGGCUGGUCUCAAACUCCUGAGCUCAAGUGAUCCGCCUGCCUUGGCCUCCCAAAGUGCUGCGAUUACAGGAUGAAUAAUCUGAUAUCAUGUGAAAUGAGGAAAUAAGAAGCUUUCUGCUGACUUCAUUUUGACCCAGGGUCCAAAAGGUGAUGUAAUCCUGUGGCAAGAAGAUUCAAAACUGUGGACUAUCUUGCAAAAAAUACAAGAAGAUAUUGAAAGUUUUCAUGAGUGCCUACCACCUAAUCUCAAACACUAUCAUUCAUAUGUGCCUCAUUGAGCAAAUCUUUAAUGAGGAUCUAUAUGCCAGCAAUAUCUUUUGCUUGGGAGCAGAAACAGAAAGUACAUGAUGGACUUCAUUGAAGGAUGGAGAUUUGGAAGACAUGAAUGGAUGAAGAACCAAGUGCGUGAGGGCACCUAUCAGGAUUAUUGCUGAAAUCCUUAUGGAGUUAACUGGCUGAGAGGAAGGCAAGCAAGCGAGGACUGAUGGGCCCUUGGCACUGUGAGAACAGUGGAGGAGGAGGGAGCAGGGUUCAUAAGGAGGAGCACAAACAGAAAGUUCAGUGGCCCCAAUAAAAA
rnacentral:lncRNA from 1 species